UUGGAUGAUGAAGAUGACAGUCUGCA
rnacentral:piRNA from 1 species